CCUACGGGUGGCAGCAGUGAGGAAUAUUGGUCAAUGGGCGGAAGCCUGAACCAGCCAAGUAGCGUGCAGGAUGACGGCCCUACGUGUUGUAAACUGCUUUUAUACGGGAAUAACGCGCCUUACGUGUAUGACUUUUCAUGUACCGUAUGAAUCAGGACCGGCUAAUUCCGUGCCAGCAGCCGCGGUAAUACGGAAGGUCCGGGCGUUAUCCGGAUUUAUUGGGUUUAAAGGGAGCGUAGGCCGUAUGUCAAGCGUGCUGUGAAAUGUCCGUGCUAAACCCGGUCCUUGCAGGGCGAAAUGGCUUGCGUGAGUGCGCGGAGAGCAGGCGGAAU
rnacentral:rRNA from 1 species